rnacentral:rRNA from 1 species
UGGGGAGUAUUGGACAAUGGGGGCAACCCUGAUCCAGCAAUGCCGCGUGUGUGAAGAAGGCCUGCGGGUUGUAAAGCACUUUCAGUAGAGAAGAAAAGCCUAGGGUUAAUACCCCUGGGUCUUGACGUAACCUACAGAAGAAGCACCGGCUAACUCUGUGCCAGCAGCCGCGGUAAUACAGAGGGUGCAAGCGUUAAUCGGAAUUACUGGGCGUAAAGCGCGCGUAGGCCGUCGAGUAAGUCGGGUGUGAAAUCCCUGGGCUUAACCUGGGAAUUGCGCGGGAAACUAGCAGACUUGAGUUCGGGAGAGGAAAGCGGAAUUCCGGGUGUAGCGGUGAAAUGCGCAGAUAUCCGGAGGAACACCGGUGGCGAAGGCAGCUUUCUGGACCGACACUGACGCUGAGGCGCGAAAGCUAGGGGAGCGAACGGGAUUAGAUACCCCGGUAGUCCUAGCCCUAAACGAUGAGCACUGGGUGUAGGGGGUAUGAACCCCCCCUGUGCCGAAGCUAACGCUAUUAAGUGCUCCGCCUGGGGAAGUACGGUCGCAAGGCUG